AGUGAACGCUGGCGGCGUGCUUAACACAUGCAAGUCGAACGAUGAUGCUCUAGCUUGCUAGAGCGGAUUAGUGGCGCACGGGUGAGUAAUGUAUAGCUAAUGUGCCCCUUAGAGGGGGAUAACAGUUGGAAACGACUGCUAAUACCCCAUACUCCUUCUUCCUAUAAGGGAAGUUGGGAAAGUUUUUUCGCUAAGGGAUCGGGCUAUAUGGUAUCAGCUUGUUGGUGAGGUAAUGGCUCACCAAGGCUAUGACGCCUAUAUGGUCUGAGAGGAUGAUCAGACACACUGGAACUGAGACACGGUUCAGACUCCUACGGGAGGCAGCAGUGGGGAAUAUUACACAAUGGAGGAAACUCUGAUGUAGCAACGCCGCGUGGAGGAUGACACAUUUCGGUGCGUAAACUCCUUUUAUGUGAGAAGAUAAUGACGGUAUCACAUGAAUAAGCACCGGCUAACUCCGUGCCAGCCGCCGCGGUAA
rnacentral:rRNA from 1 species